rnacentral:sRNA from 1 species
GACCCAGAGGAGAGGGAAAGGCUGACCAGACGGCAUGAAGAUGGAGAAUUCUGGAUGUCUUUCAGUGACUUCCUGAGGCACUAUUCCCGCCUGGAGAUCUGCAACCUGACCCCAGACACCCUCACCAGCGAUACCUACAAGAAGUGGAAACUCACCAAAAUGGAUGGGAACUGGAGGCGGGGCUCCACUGCGGGAGGCUGCAGGAACUACCCGAACACAUUCUGGAUGAACCCUCAGUACCUGAUCAAGCUGGAGGAGGAGGAUGAGGACGAGGAGGACGGGGAGAGCGGCUGCACCUUCCUGGUGGGGCUCAUUCAGAAGCACCGACGGCGGCAGAGGAAGAUGGGCGAGGACAUGCACACCAUCGGCUUCGGCAUCUACGAGGUUCCGGAGGAGGUACGUCUGGCCCAUGUCCUGGGGUGCUCAGGUCACCAAAAAAGCGAGAGGCUUAGACUGCCACAGCUCAGGGAGCAUCGUGAAGCCCGGGCAGGGGCUGGUGAUCAUGAAGGAUGA